UACGGGGGGGGCAAGCGUUGUUCGGAAUUACUGGGCGUAAAGGGCGCGUAGGCGGCGCCGCAAGUGUGGGGUGAAAGCCCACGGCUUACCCGUGGAAUUGCCUGGCAGACUGCGGUGCUAGAGUGUGGUAGGGGAGAGCGGAACUCCUGGUGGAGCGGUGAAAUGCGUAGAUAUCAGGAGGAACACCGGUGGCGAAGGCGGCUCUCUGGUCCACAACUGACGCUGAGGUGCGAAAGCUAGGGGAGCAAACGGG
rnacentral:rRNA from 1 species